CCGUUCCAUGACGGGAAUCGGGGCCAUCACAGUUGCGUGGAAGGACAAAACGACUGAAGACAGAGCUCCAUCCACAACACUCGUGGAAAGUGGGUUGCUCUACCGUUCCCUAACAGGAAUUAGGGCCAUCGCAGGUGCAGGGAAGUAAGAGGAUGAGAGAAACAUGAAUAAGGAAGAGGAUACGAAAGGUUAAAAGGGUGUCUGCCACCAGCCCUAAGCAGAAGCUAGAAGCCGGCUGCUGGGGAGAGGGUAAAGUUUGGGGUUUCUUCUAGGGUUUGAGAACGAGAUAGAGAAUAAGUAUUUCUUGUGCACAAACAUUCACUUGAGAAAUAAGUUCGGUUUUGGAUAGAUUAGAAUCAACUGUAUAUUAUUUUCGAUUUAAGUCAAUCUAAAUAUCGACAGACCCACUCAGGGGCAAGGGAGUGAAUCUCUAUGAAUGAUUUGGGUGAUGGCGCUUUAAAGGUUAGAGUUGCUCUUCAUAUAUUGCCUUUCAAUUGUUUGAUAAAAUGCCUCAAAUAAAAGCUUGGGUUGUUGGCCAGUA